rnacentral:rRNA from 1 species
AUGCACAUUCCUACAAUGUUAAUGUACCAUAUCCCAUUAGAAUUCCACAAUUAAGUGUUCUUUGGCUAGAUUAGUACUAAUAUGGGUGAUGUCUCGGGGAGUCCUAGUGUUUUACAUU